rnacentral:lncRNA from 12 species
GCAGAGUUCACUGCAGGAUCUUGAAGGAGGGGGAAAUGAUUGCAUUUUAAAGUAAAAAUUAUUUCCCCACACUUGUAUACUCACCGUGUCCAAGCAGCCAGGCCAUCAGCAGGCAUCAGGAUGUGUGUUCCAAGUGCCCAGUCCAGGACACGGAGGAGGAGAGACACCAGCUAUCCACCAGCACGUCUCCUUGACUCCUUGGAGAUGGGUCACAAGCGGAUGAUUUGUCAGUGUCAUGCAUCCCUCGUGUGUAUCCCCAGCGUGUCUGAGGUCCUGGAAGCUGUUCACAUUUCUGUGUGCUGCAAGGUAGAGAGCAGCAAAGCCCUUGGUGGAUUGGGGUCUGACCUCCACAUCUCCCUGCAGCUCCAGCUUUAGGACCAUCCUUUCUGUUGGCAUCGGAGCUCAGAGGUCUUUCUUUGUUAAAUUCUACUUCAAUUGGUUUAAUUCGGUUUUCU